UGAACGCUGGCGGCAGGCCUAACACAUGCAAGUCGAGCGGAUGAAGGGAGCUUGCUCCUGGAUUCAGCGGCGGACGGGUGCGUAAUGCCUAGGAAUCUGCCUGGUAGUGGGGGAUAACGUCCGGAAACGGGCGCUAAUACCGCAUACGUCCUGAGGGAGAAAGUGGGGGAUCUUCGGACCUCACGCUAUCAGAUGAGCCUAGGUCGGAUUAGCUAGUUGGUGGGGUAAAGGCCUACCAAGGCGACGAUCCGUAACUGGUCUGAGAGGAUGAUCAGUCACACUGGAACUGAGACACGGUCCAGACUCCUACGGGAGGCAGCAGUGGGGAAUAUUGGACAAUGGGCGAAAGCCUGAUCCAGCCAUGCCGCGUGUGUGAAGAAGGUCUUCGGAUUGUAAAGCACUUUAAGUUGGGAGGAAGGGCAGUAAGUUAAUACCUUGCUGUUUUGACGUUACUAACAGAAUAAGCACCGGCUAACUUCGUG
rnacentral:rRNA from 1 species